AAAAAGUGCGUCGUAGUCCGGAUUGGAGUCUGCAACUCGACUCCAUGAAGUCGGAAUCGCUAGUAAUCGUGGAUCAGAAUGCCACGGUGAAUACGUUCCCGGGCCUUGUACACACCGCCCGUCACACCAUGGGAGUGGGCUGCAAAAGAAGUAGGUAGUUUAACCUUCGGGGGGGACGCUUACCACUUUGUGGUUCAUGACUGGGGUGAAGUCGUAACAAGGUAGCGCUAGGGGAACCUGGCGCUGGAUCACCUCCUUAAACGAUGAU
rnacentral:rRNA from 1 species